rnacentral:rRNA from 1 species
UAAUAAUUUUUUAUUAUAUUUUAUUUUUUUUUAUUUAAUUUAAUAAAAUUAAUUUUAUAAAUAUUUAUUUAAGUAUAUUUUAUAGAAAAAAUAUUUUAAUUUAUAAUGAAUAGUAUAGUAAUAGAAUAAUUGAUUUAUUUAAUAAGUAAAUUUAAUUUAUUGUACCUUUUGUAUCAGGGUUUAUUAAAAUAAAUUUAAAAAUUUAAUAUUCUCGAAUUAAAGAGAGUUAAAAUUUUAUUAUUUUUAUUGUGUUAUAAAUAUUUUUAAUAAAAUUUUAGUAAUGAAAUGUUAUUCGUUCUUUAAGAUAUCUAGUUUUUUAAGAAUUAAAUUUAAUUUAGUUUUAAAUUUAUAUAAUUUUAUUUAAUAAAUUUUAUAUAAUUUAAAAGUAAAAUUUUUAGGGAUAAGCUUAAAAAUUAAUUUAUAAAGUUUAAAUAUAUUAAUAAAAAUAAUAGGAUUAAAAAUUUUCAAUUUUAGUUAAAGUGUUAUAAUUAAUUUAUUAUGAAAUAUAUUUUUUUAUUUUUUAAAUUUUUUAUUAAAAUAUUAUAUUUAAUUAUUUAUAUAAGAAAUAAUGAUAAAAUUAGUAUUAAUUUAAUUAUAAGUAAAAUUUAAUUAAAGAUUAAAAUAAGGAAUUCAGCAAAAUAAUACUCACCUGUUUAUCAAAAACAUGUCUUUUUGAAUAUAAUAAAAAGUCUGACCUGCCCACUGAAAUAAUUUUGAAGGGCCGCGGUAUUUUGACUGUGCAAAGGUAGCAUAAUCAUUUGUCUUUUAAUUGAAGGCUGGAAUGAAUGGUUAAAUGAAGUAUUAACUGUCUCAUUUUAAAAAAUAUAAAAAUUUAAUUUUUUAGUUAAAAAGCUAAAAUUUAUUUAGAGGACGAGAAGACCCUAUAAAUCUUUAUUUAUUUUAUUAAAUUAAAUUUUAGAUAAAAAUUAUUUAUUAUAAUAAAAUAAAUUUUAUUGGGGUGAUAGGAAAAUUUAAUUAACUUUUUUUAUUAUAUCUAUUGAUUUAUAAAUAUUUGAUCCAUUAUUAAUGAUUAUAAGAUUAAGAUACUUUAGGGAUAACAGCGUAAUUUUUUUAGAGAGUUCUUAUCGAUAAAAAAGAUUGCGACCUCGAUGUUGAAUUAAAGAUUAAUUUUAAAUGCAGAAGUUUAAUAAUUAGGUCUGUUCGACCUUUAAAUCUUUACAUGAUUUGAGUUCAAACCGGUGUAAGCCAGGUUGGUUUCUAUCCUUAAUAAAAUAAAAUAUUUUAGUACGAAAGGACCAAAUAUUUAAAAUAUUUUUUUUAUUUGAAUAAUAUUAAUUU